rnacentral:rRNA from 1 species
GUGACUGCGUACCUUUUGUAUAAUGGGUCAGCGACUUAUAUUCUGUAGCAAGGUUAACCGAAUAGGGGAGCCGGAGGGAAACCGAGUCUUAAUUGGGCGUUAAGUUGCAGGGUAUAGACCCGAAACCCGGUGAUCUAGCCAUGGGCAGGUUGAAGGUUGGGUAACACUAACUGGAGGACCGAACCGACUAAUGUUGAAAAAUUAGCGGAUGACCUGUGGCUGGGGGUGAAAGGCCAAUCAAACCGGGAGAUAGCUGGUUCUCCCCGAAAGCUAUUUAGGUAGCGCCUCGUGAAUUCAUCUCCGGGGGUAGAGCACUGUUUCGGCUAGGGGGCCAUCCCGGCUUACCAACCCGAUGCAAACUGCGAAUACCGGAGAAUGUUAUCACGGGAGACACACGGCGGGUGCUAACGUCCGUCGUGAAGAGGGAAACAACCCAGACCGCCAGCUAAGGUCCCAAAGUCAUGGUUAAGUGGGAAACGAUGUGGGAAGGCCCAGACAGCCAGGAUGUUGGCUUAGAAGCAGCCAUCAUUUAAAGAAAGCGUAAUAGCUCACUGGUCGAGUCGGCCUGCGCGGAAGAUGUAACGGGGCUAAACCAUGCACCGAAGCUGCGGCAGCGAACGUAUCACCCAAGACAACUUUACGGAGUUGACGAUUGACGGAGCGAAGCGACGUCAAAGCGUUCAUUAAAGUCGAGUUGGCUUAGGGAUACGUU